rnacentral:rRNA from 1 species
UACGGAAGGCAGCAGUGGGGAAUAUUGCACAAGUGGGCGAAAGCCUGAUGCAGCUAUGCCGCGUGUAUGAAGAAGGCCUUAGGGUUGUAAAGUACUUUCAUCGGGGAAGGAAAAACAAAACUAAUAAUUUUAUUUCUUGACGUUACCCGAAAAAGAAGCACCGGCUAACUCCGUGCCAGCAGCCGCGGUAAUACGGAGGGUGCUAGCGUUAAUCAGAAUUACUGGGCGUAAAGAGCACGUAGGUGGUUUUUUUAAGUCAGAUGUGAAAUCCCUGGGCUUAACCUAGGAACUGCAUUUUGAAACUGAAAUACUAGAGUAUCGUAGAGGGAGGUAGAAUUCUAGGUGUAGCGGUGAAAUGCGUAGAUAUCUGGAGGAAUACCUGUGGCGAAAGCGGCCUCCUAAACGAAUACUGACACUGAGGUGCGAAAGCGUGGGAAGCAAACAGGGAUUAGAUACC